UUCUUACUUUUUUUUUUAUGUUCUGUUUGAGACUAGCAAUGAUGAAGUUUUGAACGAAAGCAUAUUGAGUCCAGUCAUGCUAAUGAUGUUUCUAGAAAUGGUCUUAAUGAUGUUGAUGCCAUUUCUGGAAACAGCAGUGGUGAUGAUCUGAAUAUGAUGGCGCCAAUUGUAGUUUCAGACAAAAAGCAGAACAAUAAUGCUCCAGCUCGGAAGCUUGGAUUUGGGUUAAUUGGCUCAGGAAAACGUACUACUUACUGUCCCUUCAGUUUUCCAUGAAGAGGAUGAUGAGAAUUUGGAUGAGAAAAAAAUGAGACCUCUUGUGCCAAUUGAUUAUUCAACUGAAGAAUUACAGGUUGUCCAGGCAAAUGCAUCUGGAUCACAAUCAAAUUUGGCGGCUGCUGCUGAAUUUGCCAAGCGCAUAUCUGGUGCCAACCCAAAAGAUGUGAAGGCUGAUGUAGAUAGGGAAAGGAGCAGACGUUCUAGUGGCAAACAGAAUUUGAGAGAUUGAGAUUGGAAUGAUGAUGAGAGUAGCCGUUCAAAAGAUGAAAGUAGGGAGAAGAUGCAUGAUAGGAAUAUUGAUCGGGAAAAAGGUAGAGAAGAUAAACCAAAAACUGGAAAUAAGAAAUUAUUGGAUGCCAAGCAGUUGAUUGAUAUGAUUCCAAAAACAAAAGAAGAAAUGUUUGUCUAUGAAAUUAAUUGGGAUGUUUAUGACAAGCAUCACUUGCAUGAGAGGAUGAGACAUUGGAUCUCAAAGAAGAUAACUGAGUUCCUUGGAGAAGAGGAGGCCACUUUGGUGGACUACAUUGUUUCCUGUAUUAAAGAUCACGUACAAGCAUCCACAAUGCUAGAAAUGCUUCAGUCUAUAUUAGAUGAUGAGGCAGAAAUGUUUGUCCUCAAAACGUGGAGGAUGCUGAUUUUUGAAAUUAAGAAAGUUGAAACAAGCUUAUCAAUGAAAUCAAAGUCCUAGGCUCCAUUUUUUUUAAAAAGAAUUUCUCUCGUCUUAUCAUGCCUUCAAAUUUCCAUUUGUGC